UAUGGUGCGCGGCUGCACGCGACCGCGCGCGCAUGCCUCGCCGACUGCCCUUCUUUCUGUCUUCCUCUCUCUUACAGCGGCGUUGUGUGCGCCGAGAAAGCAGGAAGGGGGCCCUCGUCACACCUCUCCGCGACCAUCGGCGUGUCAGUGAUUCGCUGAGUCUCAAGCAUUCCUCAGCUUUUCCUUUGCUCCUCAGAAGCACGCCCGAACCGCGCGAGCGCGAAUCCCACAAGUGCGCGCACGCCGUCUAUGCGGGCUGGACCUAUACAGUUUCUCUCUCACGCCGCACCGCGCCCUACCGCGUGCCUCUGCCUCAUCUCGGGCCUCUACAUACAUGAAUGCAUUACGCAUAGAUACUCUGCAAAUCAACGUCACCAGAAGCGGAGCGGUGGUGCACGCCUCACACAGAGGCACGUAUCUUUUAGAGUUCGCACAUAGAUGCAUCUGCACACAGCGUGGCAAUACCAACCACGGCACACAGCUGGCAGACGGGCAUCAGACAUCCAUCACCCCCGUCUCCCACUGUGGCUGAGUGCUCCAGUACUCGGUCACACACACACACAUAGGGGCAGUUGCACAUUUCCAAGUAGGGGGGGGCAUCAACACACUCACACUACCCGCAGAUCCGCAUACACCUCCACAUAGCAUGGCAUACAUGCCUAGAACCGCUGCUCUUGUGCUUCUCAUUCCUUCCUUCCUGCCGUCCCCACCGGCCGACCAACCGCCCUUCCUGCCUCUUUCUCUCCCCUUGCUUCUUGGGCCUUCCUCCACAUCGUGUGCCUCUGUGCGCAUGCAUACACACAUACAUACACGUUCUCUCUGCUUGCCUUGUCAGUAUCACAGCGUCACACUACCCCUUUCCGUGGUUCAACUCCCUCCCCUCUCCCCCGGUUGUUCCGCCUAAUCUGUCGUUGUCGUCGUUUACACCUUCGCCCUCUCCUCCCUUUCCUUGUCGCCCUCGUCCUCUCCUGCUCUCCCCGUGCGGACAGUCCUGGCGAGCGCUGCAUCAUCACCCCUGCCCGCUUCACAGACACACACGCCGACACACCGCGAGUGGUGCAGAACAAAGGACAGAGUUGCCCCACCACCACAAUCCCUUCUACCUUUCCAUCUACAUCUUCUCGCCUUCUUUUGGGAAGGGGGUGUUCGUGUCGCUGAGCGAAAUUCAACGCGGCGAUGCGCAAGUCAGCGGCAGGCAGCGGCGUUGCCAACGGCACGUUCCGCCCUCCCACAACGAGUGGUGAGGGUAAGCCGGCGGAGCGCAAGCCCAGGACGCGCCCACUACUGCCUGCCACCGUGGCUGCCGCUGUGCCGCGCUUCAUGACCGGUUGGCGGGCCCUCAGCAAAGGCAGCUUCAAGGCACCCGGCUCAGGGGAUGCCAGCAACAUCGGUGACGACACCGUGGAUCUGCCUGGCCCGAGUGUGACCUGUAUCACCUCCACUGGCGCUCGGCGCGAGGUGAUGUACCCCACCGUCACCCCCCACAGCGCGGGCAGCACGGCACACAACGACCUUGUGGCUUACCGGCUGGCACGGCGCAGCCAGAUAGACUACCACCAGCCGGAGUCCGCCGCCCAGGCGGUGGCCGCGCGGGCCCUCCAAGCUGCCGCGGCAGCGCGAGGGAAGACGGAAGCGGACUCUGAGGACAGCGGAAGCCAGGGAGGCGGCACCGCAAAGCUGCUCAAGGUGGAGGCCGGCACUGGAGGCGUGAAGACGGCUCCUGGUGCGCCGGAGGCUGCCGAAGAUGGCACUGCAGCGGCAGCCAGCGAGGGCCACGAGACCGCCGCCGCCGCGGACGAGGACGCUAUCCCAGCGGACAAGGUGGUGAGCCGCUACCCCGUCAGCCCCUAUGGCAAGCUGUACUUCCAGGUCGAGACGGACGGCGCGACGCGGCAUGAAUCUGUCGGCAUCGUCAUCAUCGAUACGGAGUUGCUGGGGGUUAUGAUGUACGACCGCGUGGGGCGGCAGUAUGGCAACCGGCCUGACCCUGGUUACCCGAUCAAGCAGGAGGAAGUGGACAGUGCGAAGGCGGGAAGCGUCUUGAAGGUGGGAACAAAAAGUGUGCUGCUCAUCACAGCGCUCACCGAGGAGGCGUUCCGCAGCGGCGAGUUCUUCUUGCGCUCCGAGCACGACCUCCGCGUGAAGGAAGACAAGGCCAAGGCCAAGGCCGAGGCCGCGGCCGCCGAGGAGGCGAAGGCGCGGAAGCCCGGGAUGAGCUUCGGCAACUCGCUCAGCAACUGUAGCGCCUUCGCCUCCAUCCUUUUCCGCCGUCGCCCCAAGGAUGGGGAGACGGGCUUCGUCGUCCCCGUAGCCGGGCGUCCAAAGAUGGGCAAGAAUGGCAUCAUCAUGGAUGACCUGCACCCGCUGCACGAUCCGGACCGCGAGAAGGCGGUGGUGCUGUUCCGCGCCGACUACAAGCGCGACGUGCACGGCCGUCGGCAAGUCUCCGUCGUUGUGGACCCGAUCAUUGGCGACAAGCUGCGGCCGCACCAAAUCAUUGGCGUAAAGUUUCUCUUCGACUGCAUCACGGGCGAGCGCAUGCUCGGCUACCACGGCGCCAUCCUGGCCGAUGAGAUGGGCUUGGGUAAGACGAUCCAGACGGUGGCCACCAUCUACACCUGUUUGAAGCAAGGCAAGCACGGCCAGCCGACGGCCCGCAAGUGCCUCGUCGUGACGCCGUCCUCGCUAGUGAAAAACUGGUGCAACGAGUUUGACAAGUGGCUGGGCGAAGGGGCAGUGAGGCAUUUCGCCAUCUCCGAGUCGACUCCGAAGGGAGACCGCAUUAUCUCCCGCUUCGACGGCGAUGGCGACGUCCUGGUCAUCUCGUACGACCAGCUGCGCAAGUAUAUCGACCGCCUCUCGGGGCUGCGCUCUGUCGAACUGGUCGUCUGCGACGAGGGUCACCGCCUCAAGAACGCGGAGGUGAAGACGACAAAGGCGGUGGACAUGCUGCCAACGCGCAACCGCAUCAUCCUCUCCGGCACCCCCAUCCAGAAUGACCUGUCCGAGUUCCACGCCAUGGUCAACUUCGUCAACCCCGGUAUCCUCGGCAACCGCGACCUCUUCGCACGCGUCUUCGAAGAGCCCGUCUCCCUUGGCCGCGACCCGGGAUGCCCAGACCACCUCAAAUCUCUUGGCCGAGAUCGCGCGCAUUACCUCUCGGUGCUGACGCAGCGCUUUAUCCUUCGCCGCACGCAGUCCAUCAAUGAGUCCUACCUGCCGCCCAAGGUGGACGUUACCGUCUUCGUGCGACUGGGAGAGAAGCAGGAACUCGCCUAUCAGAAGCUGGCCGACGUGGUCGAGUCUGCGGAGUGCACGCCGCUGGUGCUCAUUUCCGCCCUGCGGAAGCUGUGCAAUCACAUGGAUCUCUUCCACGACGCGGUGCACCUGUCUCAUCAGAUUGGCAACUCGGCAGGUGCGUUGGCGCAGCAGCAGCAGGCUGGCCGCCGUCGCGGCCGCAGCAGCGCUGCAGGUGAAUCGCGAGGCAUCCCCCUAUCUGUGCUACCGAAGGGGUUUAAGCCGGGUAGCUUGAGCGUAGACUGCGGCAGUAAGAUGCACUUCGUCUCCCUCGUGCUCGACGAGCUGAAGCGAAACGGCGAGCGCGACAAGCUCGUCAUUGUGUCGAACUUCACGCAAACACUUGACAUCAUUGCAGCGCUGUGUAACUCGAAGCAGAUCGCGUACUUCCAGCUUGAUGGCAGCACGCCCAUCAAGAAGCGCCAGCAGCUAGUGGACUACUUCAACGUGCCCGGCUCGCAGGAGAUCGUGUUUCUGCUCUCCUCGAAGGCCGGCGGUGUCGGGCUGAACCUGAUCGGUGCGAACCGGCUGAUCCUCUUCGACCCUGACUGGAACCCCGCAAACGAUGCACAGGCAAUGGGCCGCGUGUGGCGCGAUGGCCAGAAGAAGCGCGUCUUCAUCUAUCGCCUGCUCAGCACCGGCACCAUCGAAGAGAAAAUCUACCAGCGGCAAGUGAGCAAGCAAGGCUUGUCGGCGAACGUGGUGGACAUGCAGGAGGAUUCAAAGCAGCACUUCACGCUGGAGGAGCUCAAGUCCCUCUUCAAAUACAAGGCCGACACGCUGUGCGACACCCACGACCUGCUGGGGUGCACAUCCUGCGAGGCCGCCGAGUCCUUGGCCGCGAGCGGCCGCGGCAGCCGCGGCAAGCAGGCAGAGGAGCUCAAGAUGCAGUUCCGCAAGGUGGGUCAGCCAAAGAAAAAGAGUGGGCCACGCAUGGAUGAGUUGAAGGCGUGGCGCCACAUCAGCGCCGUUGCCUCGUUCAACCUUGACAGCGUUACCCGCGCCGUGGCGAAGCACGCGCCAUCGCUUCUCUCCUUUCUGUUCGCUGACGAGCGCGAUAACACCAAGAUGGCCGGGCCCGUCGUGUCGACCUGCGUGAAGGUCGAGAAGCCCGCCUUCGAGGAGGACGAGGAGACGAUCACGUGUGCCAGUCAAGCCGCCAUCCAGCAGCAGGAGAGCGAGAUGGAGAUCGAGGUGAUCGACGACGACGAUGACGAGGAAGAGGCGGAGCUCGAAUCGUCCGAAGAGGUCAGUGAUUAGCUCCAUGAAGUCCCUCUUUUCUGUCCAGUGGUGGUCGACGCAGAUACCGUCGACAAGGAUGUCUGCUGUGAGUGGACAGGCGUGCGCGUGUUUGUCCUUCAGAAGUGGUGCGCAGCGCGUAGUUUCGCUCUUUUUGCUUCUUUCUUUUUCUUUGUUGUUAGCUUGUGCUUCUCUCGAUCCUAUCUUCUCGCGCGCCAUCAUUUGUGCACGCCUCCUGAGCAUCUCUCACUCUUUCCUCCUCCUCAUGCCUUGCAGACCCUCCAUGCACAACGCGGUGCACGGUGCAGCUUGCAACGCACAUCGUCCCCCACAGCGUUUACAUGUAUGCGCGGUCUCGCCCCCCCCCCGCUCGCCUCCCGCGGCGCGUCGCUUCACUUUCUUUUUUCUUUAUUGACGGCACUGCGCGUGUGUUUAGAGGGUAGGGGGUAGCCAAGCCGCCCCCACCAUCUCUGGAGGUGGCAGGGUCAUGUGCCCACGGCGCAGGGGGAGGUCAGGGCGAAUUGAUCGCUGCUGAUGUUGGCCGUCAGGUUAUGCAUGGCGUUGCGUCGGAGAGACGCGCGAUUGUGAACGUGUUUGUAUCACCCGUGUGAUGGGCAACGUGCCAACGUAUUUGACCCCGAUUUCUCCCCACACCCGCCCCACGCUGCUUCGCGCCACGCGGAUGGGGGCCCUUGUGACAGGGCCGGCGGGGGGGCAGGUAGACUGGAGUUGAACACAUGUUGUGUGUGGCAGAGAAUGCACACGUUGAAGCGCACGCGUUGUGGAAGACAGGCAAGCAGAGGCAGGG
rnacentral:misc_RNA from 1 species